rnacentral:rRNA from 1 species
AAUAGAUACCCUGGUAGUCCACGCCGUAAACGAUGAGUGCUAGGUGUUAGGGGGGUCCAACCCCUUAGUGCUGAAGUUAACACAUUAAGCACUCCGCCUGGGGAGUACGACCGCAAGGUUGAAACUCAAAGGAAUUGACGGGGGCCCGCACAAGCAGUGGAGCAUGUGGUUUAAUUCGAAGCAACGCGAAGAACCUUACCAGGUCUUGACAUCCUCUGACAACCCUAGAGAUAGGGCGUUCCCCUUCGGGGGACAGAGUGACAGGUGGUGCAUGGUUGUCGUCAGCUCGUGUCGUGAGAUGUUGGGUUAAGUCCCGCAACGAGCGCAACCCUUGAUGUUAGUUGCCAGCAUUCAGUUGGGCACUCUAACGUGACUGCCGGUGACAAACCGGAGGAAGGUGGGGAUGACGUCAAAUCAUCAUGCCCCUUAUGACCUGGGCUACACACGUGCUACAAUGGGCGGUACAAAGGGCAGCGAAACCGCGAGGUGGAGCCAAUCCCAUAAAGCCGCUCUCAGUUCGGAUUGCAGGCUGC